UACGGAGGAUUCAAGCGUUAUCCGGAUUUAUUGGGUUUAAUGGGUGCGUAGGCGGUCUGAUAAGUUAGAGGUGAAAUCCCGGGGCUUAACUCCGGAAUUGCCUCUGAUACUGUUGGGCUAGAGAGUAGUUGCGGUAGGCGGAAUGUAUGGUGUAGCGGUGAAAUGCUUAGAGAUCAUACAGAACACCGAUUGCGAAGGCAGCUUACCAAACUAUAUCUGACGUUGAGGCACGAAAGCGUGGGGAGCAAACAGG
rnacentral:rRNA from 1 species